rnacentral:rRNA from 1 species
AUGGCCGGUAAGGGAGGCAAGAAGUCCCAGUCCGCUACUGUUCGGUACACCUGCGCGUGCGGAGAGAAAAUCGAGGGGCUGGCCGCGGGCACGGAGCAUACCAGGAAAUGCCAGGCAGCGAAGAAGGUGGCCGAGGCGGCGAAGGCUCGCGAGCUGGAGGCCCAGAGGGCGCGGGAGUUGGAGCUGGAGGCCGCGCGUAGGGGGGGAGCUCCUAUACGGCGCAUUAAGCGCCGGUACAGGCAACUGGCGCCCACUGGCACUAUCUGGUGGGCCGGCCCAGGAACACGCAGAGAAAAAACCUCCCAAAAAAGCUGCUUCCAACAGGAUUCGAUCUCGCGCCGUUUAGUUAUGACGCAGCGUGCCUAA